GCCAGGUGUGGUGGCGUGCACCUAUAGUCCCAGUUACUUGGGAGGCUGAGGUGGGAGGAUCACUUGAGCCCAGGAGGUUGAGGCUGCAAUAAGCUAUGACUGUGCCACUGCACUCCAGCCUGGGCAAAAGAGUGAGACCCUGUCUCUU
ensembl:misc_RNA Metazoa_SRP Metazoan signal recognition particle RNA